rnacentral:misc_RNA from 1 species
GUUUGAAGGUAUGGAGUUGGGUCAGCGACUAGGCUUAGGGACGGACUUUGACCUGAUUUUCUGUAGUUGAGUGUUGUCGCACUUUUAUCUCAGGGACAGUAUUGUGCUUUCUUCACUCAGAGUGCUGCUUGAACAUGGGCUCUAUAAUUCGGUAUCAUAAUCUGUUUGAGACUAGACGACUAGUAUGUCUAUUGGGAGUGAUUUUUGGCCUUGCUUUGAUGAUUCAGUA